CUAGAAAAGAGGCCGCUCAGGAUGGGAAGAAGAUUUCAACCCCUGCGUGUCCGACGCAGCUCCCAACGUCGCUGAGGCCUUCAGAAACCCAAAGUGGCAUCGCUAGGAAAACGACUGACAACCGGUCACACGACCCAGGCAGAGACCCAGAAAGAGGCUCACCAAAGACAGGCUGACAUACAAGAAACCACCCUCCAGCGCACAGGGCACAUUAGUCCCAAACACGCACACGAACACACACAAAGAAAGAGACAGAGAAACAGGAGAGAAAGAGAGACAUACACACACAGAGACAUACAGCAGUGGCACAGAAACACCCACCUCCAGGCAGCCCCAGAGGCUGCCGGGUUCUGCUCUCGGCAAGAAUGACCCUCGGGUAAGAGAGCAGCCCACAGGCCCACAGUCAGGCCUGUCCUCGAGAUCACAGGCGGCACGACUUGUGGUGAGACUCUCCCACACACCAUCUGGGGCAGGCCUGAGGCUUGGAUGGCGCGCUGCUUCCCCGGGACCC
rnacentral:lncRNA from 1 species